GUGUGUCUGUGUGUCGCUGUGUGUCUGUGUUUGUGUGUCCUGUGUGUGUCGCUGUGUGUCUGUGUGUAAUUGUGUGUCGCUGGUGUGUGUCGCUGUGUGUCUGUGUGUAAUUGUGUGUCGCUGUGUGUCGCUGUGUGUCUGUGUGUAAUUGUGUGUGUCGCUGUGUGUGUCGCUGUGUGUCUGUGUGUCACUGUGGUGGCUGUGUGUAGCUGUGUGUCUGUGUGUCACUGUGUGUCUGUAUAAUUGUGUGUUGUAGCUGUGUGUGUGUGUGUCACUGUGUGGCUUGUGUGUCGCUGUGUCUGUGUGUCGCUGUGUGUCUGUGUGUCACUGUGUGGCUGUGUGUAGCUGUGUCUGUGUGUAGCUGUGUGUGUCUGUGUGUCACUGUGUGGCUGUG
rnacentral:lncRNA from 1 species